AGUCCUAACAUCAGCAGGGGAUGAAAACAGAGAUGAUGAGGCUGAUCUGGGUGACAUAAUGUAUCCACCAAAAGAUGACUAAUUGAAAGUCAUGGUCCAGUAUAUUCUGAAGAACAAAAAGUUACCUGUUGUACUUCCUGAAAAUUUUCGGCUUCCAUCAGUGGAAAAGGAAUACCCAAGGCAUCUAAUUCCAGAAGAAAUGAUGUGCCAGCACUGCCCUGGCAAUGUACCCCUGAGUGACCCGGUCCUUAUUACACAAAAGGCAAAAAUCCUCACCAGAUGUUUCUACCUACUGUAAAUGUUGUCAUCGGUGUGGAGCCUACUUUCGCUACCAGGAGUGGAAAGAUGGCAUACACAAUUUUAAUGAUCGGAUACUCCUUGACCUCCCUUUAUGCAUAACUAUUAGGAAUAUGCUACAGGUCCAUACUGCUGUCAGCAGAGUGGUAGAGUAUUUGGAAAGGACUACAGGGGUGCAGUUUCCCUCAGCUGAUACGAUUAUGCAAGGAUAUCUUCACUUUGAAGCUCUUACAGAACAUGACUAUGAGUAUUCCUGCGUGAACUGUGGGGACCAUCCACCAGUUGUCAUCAUGGACCUCCAUAAGAAGGGGGCCUUCCAUUUGUCAGUAAGUGACCUUUCACCACCCCCAGAAGACUUCAAUGGAGAGGUUGAUAUGCAAAUUUUUUGGGAGGCACUAUCAUUGGAGAGGAUUGGUCGAGGAUUUGUAACAAGU